UUUCACCCACGUUAGGGAUUACAGGGAAAAGCCCACAGCAUAGCGAGGACUUGCAGCGGAAAGCCCGACCCGAA
rnacentral:misc_RNA from 1 species